UCAAUCAUCAUGCCCUUACUGUUCUGGGCUACACACGUGCUACAAUGGCCGGUACAGACGGACGCAAAGCCGCGAGCGGAGCAAAUCCGAAAAAGCCGGUCUCAGUUCGGAUUGCAGGCUGCAAUUCGCCUGCAUGAAGUCGGAAUCGCUAGUAAUCGCAGGUCAGCAUACUGCGGUGAAUACGUUCCCGGGCCUU
rnacentral:rRNA from 1 species